GAUGAACGCUGGCGGCGUGCCUAAUACAUGCAAGUCGAGCGAACAGACGAGGAGCUUGUUCCUCUGACGUUAGCGGCGGACGGGUGAGUAACACGUGGAGAACCUACCUUUAAGACGGGGAUAACUUCGGGAAACCGGAGCUAAUACCGGAUAAUAUCUUGAACCGCAUGGUUCAAUAGUGAAAGACGGUUUUGCUGUCACUUAUAGAUGGAUCCGCGCGGCAUUAGCUAGUUGGUAAGGUAACGGCUUACCAAGGCAAGGAUGCGUAGCCGACCUGAGAGGGUGAUCGGCCACACUGGAACUGAGACACGGUCCAGACUCCUACGGGAGGCACCAGUAGGGAAUCUUCCGCAAUGGGCGAAAGCCUGCCGGAGCAACGCCGCGUGAGUGAUGAAGGUCUUCGGAUCGUAAAACUCUGUUAUUAGGGAAGAACAAAUGUGUAAGUAACUAUGCACGUCGUGACGGUAACUACUCAGAAAGCCACGGCUAACUACGUG
rnacentral:rRNA from 1 species